CUGCUCGACCCGUUCCGGCGUAAGCGAGAGACAGAUGAGCCCGCGGCCGUACAUGGCCAUGAAAUUGAUUGCCUCCGGCGUCACAGCCUCUGCCGCCAUGGUCA
rfam:Nitrospirae bacterium GWD2_57_9 gwd2_scaffold_4951, whole genome shotgun sequence.